rnacentral:rRNA from 1 species
AUACGUAGGGUGCGAGCGUUGUCCGGAAUUACUGGGCGUAAAGAGCUCGUAGGUGGUUUGUCGCGUCGUCUGUGAAAUUCCGUGGCUUAACUCCGGGCGUGCAGGCGAUACGGGCAUAACUUGAGUACUGUAGGGGAGACUGGAAUUCCUGGUGUAGCGGUGAAAUGCGCAGAUAUCAGGAGGAACACCGGUGGCGAAGGCGGGUCUCUGGGCAGUAACUGACGCUGAGGAGCGAAAGCAUGGGUGGCGAACAGGAUUAGAUACCCUGGUAGUCCAUGCCGUAAACGGUGGGCGCUAGGUGUAGGGGUCUUCCACGACUUCUGUGCCGUAGCUAACGCAUUAAGCGCCCCGCCUGGGGAGUACGGCCGCAAGGCUAAAACUCAAAGGAAUUGACGGGG